UACAGAGACUGCAAGCGUUAUUCGGAUUCACUGGGCGUAAAGGGUGCGCAGGCGGCCGGGUGUGUCAGAUGUGAAAUCCCGAGGCUUAACCUCGGAACUGCGUCUGAAACUACUCGGCUAGAGUAUUGGAGAGGGUAACGGAAUUCACGGUGUAGCAGUGAAAUGCGUAGAUAUCAGGAGGAACACCUAUGGCGAAGGCAGCUCGCUGGGACGGUACUGACGCUGAGGCGCGAAAGCGUGGGGAGCAAACAGG
rnacentral:rRNA from 1 species